CUACGGGUCGCACCAGUGGGGAAUCUUGGACAAUGGGCGCAAGCCUGAUCCAGCCAUGCCGCGUGAGUGAAGAAGGCCUUAGGGUCGUAAAGCUCUUUCGCCAGAGAUGAUAAUGACAGUAUCUGGUAAAGAAACCCCGGCUAACUCCGUGCCAGCAGCCGCGGUAAUACGGAGGGGGUUAGCGUUGUUCGGAAUUACUGGGCGUAAAGCGCGCGUAGGCGGAUUAGUCAGUCAGAGGUGAAAUCCCAGGGCUCAACCCUGGAACUGCCUUUGAUACUGCUAGUCUUGAGUUCGAGAGAGGUGAGUGGAAUUCCGAGUGUAGAGGUGAAAUUCGUAGAUAUUCGGAGGAACACCAGUGGCGAAGGCGGCUCACUGGCUCGAUACUGACGCUGAGGUGCGAAAGUGUGGGGAGCAAACAGGAUUAGAUACCUCUGUAGUC
rnacentral:rRNA from 1 species